GUCUAUGGCCAUACCACCCUGAAUAAGCCCAAUCUCAUCGAUCUUGGAAGCUAAGCAGGGUCAGACCUGGUUCGUACGAGGAUGGGAGACCCUCUGGGAAUACUGGGUGCUGUAGGCU
ensembl:rRNA 5S_rRNA 5S ribosomal RNA